GGGACGCAGCUGCUGGGUCAGCCCAGCUUUUCUCCUGCUUCGUUACGGUGCGGGAGGAAAUUCUGCGGGACUUCAGAGAUUGUCACCCCGAGCCGACUCACGGCGGUGCCGGGUAGUGCGUGCACUUUCAGUUCGACUUGGAUAGACCCUUGUCACCGCGGUGCCGUGAGGGCCUGUGCGGACAGGGCGGGUGGGAGGAGAAGGGCUGCCUGUUGCAGCGCACGUGGGUAAUGUCCACCUGCAGCACUGAGCUCAGCUUCCGCCGGCCGCAAACCUAAUGUAAUCCUUCUCGUGGGUCAGUUUCGCUAAUAACCAGACCCUUAUGCCCGUAGUAUACACUACUGCAGGACUCUAGGCCGAAUCAAUAUGGUAAGUCUGGCCUCUGAAUACAGACUCAGUUUUCUCGUUUUCAAGUCAAAGCCAAAGCCUGCUGGAUAGUUUGGCGGAUGAAAUAGCAACUACCCUAACUCUUACACCACCAAAUAACAACACUGCUAGGUGUAUCCACAACUAGGCAUUAUGUAGUGCUGUAAGAGGCCACCAUUCCCCAGGCUUGUGCGCUCAGAAUGGAGUUGGAGACAGACCCCUGUGUAGCUGUUUGUUGCUUGUCCUGAAGGAGUCUGCUACAGAGAGUCAUCAGGCACAUGUAGUACCUUGGUGUCAGACCCUGGCCUUCUGGGUUCAGUUAAUCACCUGUGAACCAGCAGUUAUGACUGUAUAUAGAUCAUGCAUUAUACUGACCAGGAGGUUUAACACCUGGUUCCAUGUGCGUUGAGUUGUACAACCAGUGCAACUAACAUAAAAGGCUUUGUUCCUCAGAGCUGAUGACAAGGGUGUGCUUUAUACGUGCUAUCUUCUCAGCCCUAUGUAACAUGAUAUUACACACUUUAUAACACCCUGUACCAUUAGGGCCAAGUGCAGGGCUCUGGGAAACCAUUUGCCUGCUUACAAUUAGUUGCAAGUUCCCAGGAGGAAAAAAAAAAAAAAAAAAAAAAAAGAAAGAAAAAGAAAAAAAAACCACACACAUAAGAAAACUCCUUUUACAAAAGCAUUUUAUUUUUAGUGAAAUUAUAGUGAUAAAUGCCCCAGAUGACUUGACUGUACUUGAUUUAUAGGAUUUGUACAGUAAAUUCCUGCAACUUGUAAAAUAAGACUAGUUAAUUUGGGGCAGAUAUAAAGACAAUAAUGGCUUACUAAAUACACUUCUGAGAAAGUUAAGAUGCAAAAAUCAGUGUAAAAAUUGAUUUUUCCUGCAUAGGAAUAAUUAUGAAAAACCCUCUGUUUAAAAAAAUAUUUCUUGAGCUCAUGCUUUGGCCAUGGCAAGCCAUCAUUUGUGAGACAAAAUAUUGGACAUACUUGGGAAUUACAAGGCAGUCUGAUUUUCUUGUAGUUUUGUAAUGAGUACUUAAUGCAGACUUCUUAGCCAUUUUUGCUUUCCAUAACUUAUUAAAUGAUUGAAACCAUGGUUACUUAAACCUGAAAUUUUAAUGAAAGGACAGGUUUUGUUUUGUUUUUUUUGUUGUUGUUGUUGUUUGUUUUUAGUUUUUUGGUGUUUUUUUUUUUUUCCUUCUCAGAAAGGUAUCGGAGGCCUGUUCUGAAUUAAAGCUGAAAAUCCAGGGGACUCCAAGAUUUUAGAUGAGAUUAAAAAAUUGAAUCAAACAAAAUUGUAUAAUAGAUGUUCUGGUAGAAAAUUAUUGCACCUUUGACAGAAGGCAGAAUAAAGGUAUUUGAUUUACUGGGAGAAAAAAUGUGGGUGGAUAUUUUAUCACACAUUACCUCCUGUCUUUUCUGUUCUAGAAUAAAAUCUUUUGGUUAUAAAAAAAAAUAAAAAAUAAAAAAAAAUCAAUUAGUACUUGUGAACUUCUAAAAUAUGCUGAUUUAUUAUAUUUAAGAGCAAUACAUGGAAUGUAAAAAAACCACAUUUCUCUAGUUUAGAACAUGCAGAUGAUAUAAAAACAAUACUUCUAAUCAUAUAACUUUAUAACAAAAAGACUUGUAAAGCUCUCUUCUAAACAUCAUUGUUAGAAGCUCUGGAAAGAUCUGAAUAAUUCAGAAUAACUCUGAAGUCUCCUACUUUCUCGUAGGUCCAUUAUUAUUAGUCUAACUGACACAAUGCUGUUUCUUUUUCAGCAGAUGGUUCUGUUACACUCAAUUUUCCAGCUUUCAAAAAACAAAUUUCCACUUAAAAGUCAGACUUACUGUUUGAACUAGAAGUUACAUGUGACACUACAUGACCAAAGUGUGCUUCAUUUUCUCACAAGACUGGAAUUUCUGCUUCCAUUCUGUGAAGACAUCACUAAUUAUUUGCACAAAUAAGAAGUUUAUUCAGCGUGUGAGAUAUGCCAAUAGCAAAUUAAUAAAGCAAGGCUGCAAAACAAAUUACAUUUUACCCAAGAGGGUCCUAGUUUCAAAUAAUUUGAAAUGUAUUCAGUAGGUAAAUCUUUUCAGUCUCACCCACCUGAUGAAAUAGCUCUGGUGCUUUUUCUGCUGGACAGAAGACUUUGUAUAAUCUGUCUAACUGGCCGUCCAAGAUAUUCUACUACACUGUUGCAGUAGUUGAAGCAAGGAAGUUCACCAAACGUACUUUCUUCUUGAAGAAAUACUGGCUACUUUGUACAGAUAACCAGCAAUGGCUCAGUAAUUCUAUCUCACCAUUUCCUGCCUAGAAAUUUGAAAAUAACAAUAAUGAAUUCAUAUUAGUGGAGGAACCUGACAGAGGAUUAAAAAUCACAAUGCAGUAUCCCUAAUGACCUGGAAUAGUUAAUUAAGUUCUCUUAUAAAUGAGUUCUAAAAAUAACUUACUGAAAGUAAGUUAUUCUGAGAAACAGCCACUUUAGCAUACCUGAGCUGCAGUGCCUAUUAGAAAAGGGCCAAUUAUCUGGUGACUGGCAGUUAAAGGUGAACUGCUGUAGUUCUUAAUUAAAAGGCUUCAUAUUAUAAUCACCAGUAAGUAACAGAAUACUGCAUAUAUAAGGUAGACAUAGCAUUAGAAAAAAUAUUUCCAUUUUGAAACAGGGAUUUUGAAAAAACCUUGUCCUUUGCUUGCCAAGCCCCUGUGAGAGCUCUGGUGCUGCCACCCGUGCUACUUGCAUAGCACUGACAUGCUCCCCUAGGACCCACCUGUAACCAGAAGGGUUUCUCUCCUGUACCAUGUGGCAGCAUUGUCACUGCUGUUAAUGCCCAAAAUUGUUAUUACAGAAAUAUUAUUUUAGGUUUUAAAAGAGAAUACAUCUGUUCCCUAGGCUAGGGAACUGCCUGUAGAGCUCCUUUAGCUUCCUGCCUGUUACAAUUGGGAAGAUCAGCAUGGUAGAAGGGUGACACAAAAAUAUAAUAACAAAGGGAUCAGCACAGAUAGGAUUUCACAGGAAAGUAAGUGUGCUCACUCAACCCCAGAAAUCUAGGCUUGCAGAAAGGACUCCACAAGAGAGGGAUCUCCAACCAGAAAUCCUUCCCUAGUGGCAAUCAGCCCCUAAAUGGGGUCUAAGAGAGGUGGAACCAGGCUUUGCCCCUUACCUUCACUCACCUGGUUAAUUGCCUUCACCUGUGAUCUCAGGGCUGACCAGUCCUUUCCCCAGGUGAUAAGAAUUUUCUAUUCUGAUUUAUUUUAAUUCUGAUUGCAAUGGAAAAGUUAAGCAUGGACACUGUAUUUACAGGGUUAAAUAAUCCUGUAUAUUCACUUUUCAUUUUCCCACUUGUGAAGAAAAGAAAAAGUGUUUUUUUUUAGAAAUAAGCAUCUCAAUUUUAAAAUUUGCGUAACAUUUUAAAAUACAAAACAAAUGUGAGAGCUCUUCCAAUGUUACAUUACUACAAAUGUGGAUUGGAGAUGAAGUUAUAUUGUGAAGAAUUACAUGUACAAUUUUCAAAACAAAGUUUAUAUUACAUAAAAUGUUGCAUUUCCUGUGAAGUUUCAUUAAUUGCCAGUGAAGACUGAAAAUAGAAAUUUUUGAGUACUUCUAUGUACUAAAAUCUAUUAUGUCUCAUUAACCGUUCUAGAGGAUGUGAAGAUUGUUUAGGCCCAACAAUCCCUACAACAUAUCCAUCAUCCAAUAACUUUGACUCUAUAGCUACAGGCUUUAACUUACUGAGAAUUAGCCAUGCAUUUGAUGGCUACAAAAUGCCUUGGAAAAAUAUAGUCAGAGUAAUAACCCUUGAGAACAGGGAGAAAUUAGCUGUCAAGUUAAUGAAAUUAAGCUGCACUAUCUUCUUCAUCAUCACAAUUUAAAUGACUGUGAUCUUGUAGGCAGAAAUGACUGGUCUAUUUUUAAAGAGAUGCAAAAGUUUAGAGAAACAGCUUUAAAGAAGGGAAUCAAGAAAUUGAACUUCUGUAAAGAAAUCUAAAACUGAAUGGCAGCAUCUUAUUGUGGUGAUAGAAAAUUUGGGAUGCUUAUUCACUUAUUAAGUGGUGCUGCAAUUCAUCGCUGAUUGAGAACAUUUGAGAAGGCUAAAAGUGCUGAAGUUUCAGGGGAAUAAGCAAACAGCAGCUUUUUUUGGGUCUCAUUUGUUUUACUGCAAAAAAUUUCCCAUGUCAUAAAAUAUUUAUAACAUCACUUUAAGUAAUAAGAAGGACUAUUUUCUUUGUACUCCAGUGUUCCUAUUGUGUUCAAUUAUGCCAGAACAAAUAAUGUUAACUUUAAAAAUCAAAACAGUUUUUAAUGUGUUGCAUUCAAGCUGUUUUCAUCUUAGAGUAAGCUUUUUUCAUGGGACUACUGGUCUAAUAAGUAUGGUGUAUUAGUAAGUCCUAAUUAGGACAAUUAGCUUAACUCUGGAAGAUAAAGCAUUCUAUCCCUGCAAGGAAAACAAGAAAUCAGUUGUAACUUCCAGCAUCCAACCGAACUUUAUUACAUUGUAGCAUAAACGACUGACAUAAUAUGCCUCUGAUUUUUAGACCUCAAGGAAGGGUGGAUUUGACAGUGCCCUUUCAAAUAACAUUGAAGCGUCAGCUCCCAUGCCAACAUCAUGCUCUAAUCAGUACAGUCUUUUUUGUUGCAGGGUCUUCCACCUUAUAAUUGACCCUGACAUAUGCUAUUCACUCUACCCCUUGGCUUUGGACAUAUAAGUCCUGUCAUGGUCAAUUAUAAGGUGAUAGAGCCUGCAACCACUGGGACCAUUGCUUAAAAUCAUCCUCCACAGUAAGCCCUGAAGUGACCAAAUUCAAAUCUAUCUGGAGGGAAAGAGGGGAUUCAGUCUUUGAUAAAACCAAUAUUCUUUUCACUUCUGUAUAGAAAAAUGUCAAUUUCCAUCAUACAAUAUAUUACUGAGACAAAUGGUGACAGUGCUAUUUCUGAAACAGGUUAAGGAAAAGUACAAAAGCCUUUACCAAACAGCAUGCUCUGAAAUGAGGAAAUUGUCUGUGUGAGCAUACAGUAUGCAUAAAAAUUAGAUUACGCUACAUUUGAAAAGCAGAUGAGAAUUUAAGAGUGACAAGUGGGCAAAUGCUAAAUAUAAGGGCAUGUUACUUCCUUUCCAACAUUGCUUUGUCUGUAUGCUUUCUUUUAUGCUGUGUUUAAGCUUUGAACUAAAAUACUUUGCACCAGCCUGAAAGACAUGCCUGAUUACCUUAUUGGUAAGAACUGGUCUUGAACAAAAAGCAAUUCUCCUCAUUGUCCCAUUGGUUCUGUAAUGCCUAAGAAAUUUGGCAAAAACAAAAACCAGAACACUUGGUCUCUGAUCUCUGAGUAAGCAGUAUGACUUUCAAAAACAUACACUGUACUCGUACAGAAUCUUUACAACUUCAGGAGUAAGAGCUGAGAUGAGCAGAAGUUUUAACAUCCAUCUGCCAAGAUUUGCUGGAGAAGCUAGAUUGUCAGAUGUGGGGUCAUUUCACACAUUUUCGGGCUUUAGUCACCUAUGUAGUUAAGCCAGAGGGACAGCUAUCCCUGUUUUUUCUUGUGCGGACAUUCAUUUCAAUUUGCAAGCUGCCAUUGUCUAUUUUCUGUUUCUUUGUUGUUUUGUUUGUUUGUUUGAUGAAAAAUUGAAGGGAAUUUCAAUUAUCUAUAGUGUUUUCAGUCACAAAUUAUAACCUACAGGGAUCUUUCCUGAUUUCUUUUAUUACUGACAGUUUAUUUAUCUCCAGUACCUAAACCACUCAAUCCAAAAAUAAUCCUUAAAAAGACCUUUGUGAAUGUGCUAUUUUUUACAGGUAAUACAGUAUGUAAUAUUUUGAAAAGUGUGUUUUGAUGAUAUCUUUAUUUCCUAUCUUAGCUUGACUAGACAAAGCUCUAAUUAACAUUCAUAUAAUUAUCUAAGUCUUUUAAAAUCCCAUCUGUACAGUUUCUCUUAAUGAUGUAUACAGAGCAUAGCAGUCCCAAUAAAUACCAAGCACAUACAGUGCAAGUGCUUUUAAUUUAAACCAUACUGCUGAUUAGUGAUGGGGUAUUCUGAAACUGUUAUACACAUUCUGUAUUUCAAUUGUCAUGGGAACUGAACAGCUCUUCCUGCUGAAGUGCACAGUCCUACAUAUAGCUGGGAGCUGCUAUUCUAGCAUCUGCUGUGGCUGUGUCUACUAUCCAGACAAGUUAACUUUGGAAACUACUGAAUUAGCUAAUUUUGAAAACAGGUGGGUGACUUUACUUCAAUGUGAAACUCAGCUCAAAUGUUUGCUGGACAGAAAUUUACAGUUAUGAAACUAUUACUCUCUAUUAUUCUAUGUAAAUACCAAAUUUCCUCAACUUCAUAACAUAAGGGAUUACUCCUAACAUACACAUGUUUAUCUACCCCGCAUAUAUCACAUGACAUCCUAAGCAUUAUUUCAUAUAAGAGAUAAUUCUGCUUUCAACAGGUUGCAGUCUGUGAAAUGAGGAGAAGAACUCCUGGCUGUUUUAUGGUUUAGAGCAUGACUGAAUACACUAACAGGGCUCCAUGAAGUACACAUUUCAAUAUAUAUAAUAUAUUUCUAAUAAUAUUUAAAGUCUACAUAGGUCUUAUCCUUUAAAUACCGAAGAGGAGCACCCCUACUGCACUUAAGAAGCAGAGGCAGUAAAACCUCAAAAUACUGGGACACCACCAGUGAUAUGAAUGUUAAAGUUUGAUUCUCUGGUAAAUAACUUGUGUGAUUAUUUGUGCAAUUUCAGCUGUUCUUUAUUUUGGCUUCUCUAUCUGUAGUGUAGGCAUAGUUAUAGUUUGAAAAUUAUUUUGAGAUUUAUAGUUACUAAAUAUCAGUGUAAUAAUUAUAGACAAAACAAUCCAUUCUGAAAUCUUUUAACUCAGUUCUAAAUAUCAAUCCAUAACAUUUACACUGUAGCAAUCAUAGUAAGUACUUUAUGUCUGAUGGAUAACUUUUGUAAGAUUAGCUUGUUUUUAAUGUUUAUUUGCAGGUUCUUCUGGGUAAGUAUACAGGAGCAUCACAAGCAAUGUUUAAAUCUCACCACGGCAAUUGAUUUCUCUAUGCUCUACCAGUUACAUAUCUGCAGAACUACCAGAUGGGGAGAGAAACUGCGAUGAGAAAAUAAUGAUCAGGUUGUGGUUUGGCAAAUGGGGCAAAAAUAGAAUGGGCAGAAUGAGGAAGCAACCCUGAUAGCUGAAAGUUUCAAGAUUCUCCUCUGGUUCUUGGGAAGUCCUCAGGAAGGAAAACACAAGAGCUGCUUGUGUUUCACUUGUCAGUUUGUCCAGAUUCAACGUGUUACAAACAAACAUAUUCCACCUGUUACAACAAUCUGGCAUAUUACUUUCUUGAUACGUGAUGAUACAAUACCUCUCAGGUUUGCCGAGUAGCAAAGAGAAAUGUAAGCAAAUGAAAAGGUUUUCCACUUUCACAGUUUUUUUUCUGCUUAGGGUUCUGUUUGUCUGAGAACUGUAUGAAUAGAAGCCAUAUUUUAUAGUAUUUCUUUAACCUCUGCCAUCUGGUGUAGGUUAGUUUUUCCACUGCCAAUUUAUCCUAGAGGCCUCAGUACCAAAAUGUUUUAUUUCUAGGUAAACACUUGGACUUUAUAAACCCAGUUUAAAAAAUCAGAACAUUAUUUUUAAAAACUAUAUAUUGCAAUUGUCACUAGUGACGACAUUAAUAAACACACACAGACAAAUAUGUGGGUUUAAAGUCUUCUGGCCACAAAAGUAUUUUCUGUAACAGAGCUCUAGAGCUGUCAGGUCAGCCAACAUCUUUAAUCACUGCGUCAUGGUCAGUUAUCAUGAAGGAACUUGAAUAUUCCCUCCUCACCCGAAGUCAAGUGUCAGGGGAUUUGUACCACUACAGCCAAACCUUCUCAGUCAAGCAUGGUUUCAGGCAGAUAAAACUCACUCAUGCUGAAAUCAAAGAUUUAGCAGCUUUUUAUUUUAUUUUUUAAAUUAACUAAACUUGCUUUAUUGCAACAACAGAGGACUGCUUCUACAGAAUAAUAUGGCAAAUACUAACCACUUAAAAGAAAGAAUGCAGUAAUAUUUCUAGCAAAAUCCUUAUCCUGUGACUAAAGAAAACAAAACAAAACAAAACAACACAAUGCCCCAAAACAAGCAAAACCCUUAUAUAUCAGAACUCUAGCACCAAGAGGAGAAAGGUCUUUCUAAACUUACCAAAAUGUUGAAUUUUGUCCUAGCCAGCAAUUUUGCAGAUCUCAAUUAAAAAGCAAUACUGUUGAUGGUCCUAAGCAUAUCAAAAAUAUCCUUAUAAUUGUAAUGAAAAAUUGAAGAAAAGUUGCUACUGCUGUGAAUGGGCAGGCAUACACAGUUCAUUUUAAUCAGUAUUCUUCAGAGGCAGACAAUCAUCAGUGAAAAGGCACAGAUUUGGUACAAAUACACAGAUAAUAAAAGUGAACAUUUCAAGCUGUGUGUAGGCAUGAUCAGAAGGAUAGAGAAAAAGGAAAUAGCUGCUCGGUUUACUCUGAUUUAGAAAAAGAUUUGAAAAAAAAUAUUAGGAAAUACUUUUUAUCUACAUCCUCUUGGUCUAAAGCAUUUUUUGUGUUUAUCUCUAAAUUUUAAAAUAUCAGUGAUAGAUUAGUGUGUCACCUUCUUAAGGCUUUCUGGAGUACUCAGAAAUGUGUUUUUGGCACAGUCUGAUUACUUUAAUGAAAAUUUCACAAAGGAUAAAAAUAUUUCUUUUUAUUCAGGUUCAGAUUCAAUUUGGGUUAAUAAAAAGAAAGAAAAGUAAAUAAUGUCAUUAACAAGUGGUUUUUCAAGAUCUGAGCUAUAAGGCAAAAGUUGCACUCUCUUAAUUAAUUUAAAAUUUGACUAGUUUAAUCAGUACAAUCUGGUAAUGAAUGAUAUUUGUUGAAUUUAAAUCCGUAGCUGAUAGUGAGAAUUCUUGGGGCAUGUGCCAAACAGUAUGGCUAAAGAGGUUGCAUAGCACCAUUCAUCUAAUCUGGGAUAUGUUGUUCUGUAUUACUUGUAACAACACUAAUUGCACUUAUUUUAAUAAGCUCAGUUAUAAACAACAGUAUCUGGGGAACAUCCUGUCUCCACAAUGGCACUUGUGGUGCCUUGAUGAACAGCUAUUGAAAUUUCCCUAGUAUGAGUCAUCAGAACUAAUAACCAGUGCCAUAUCAUAGCUUGUUUAAUCAUCACUAAAACUAGUUCAGUUUUACAUAGUCAUUUUCUGAUACUUUCUUUGAGAAAAUUCACAUUUUUUCACCUUGGAACUCACCAUACUGCUUAGUGCUGAUUCCUAAGCUGACAUGUCCUGCUUAAAACCUGUUAAGCAGGAAGCCUGGAGAACCUGCACUCAGAUAUUUGCAGUGUCUGGCCCUUCUGUAUCUUCUCAGCACCUCUUACCAGCCUGCUCACUUUCUGAUCUCUUGAGUCUGACCCAAUCAUUUUCUCAAUGAACUCCAAACUAAAUGUCCUGUGUCUAGCUAGAUAUUGUAACUACUGGAAUAUUAUCUUUAGCUUUCAGAACACAGAUAUGCACUAUCUGUCCAUCUUGUUAUUUAUUCUCUUCUACCAGUUUUUCCUCCAAACCUUUUGUUAACAUUACUGAAUUUCACAAAGGAAGAUCAUAAUGUUCCUACUUUUUCUUGUGAAAAUAAGCAUCUGUGUGAGAAGAAAAAAAUACAGUUAGAGUUCCAACAAGGAGAACACUACAGUUAUUUGUUGCACAUUUGGCCAUUCAUUAAACAUGCAAUGCAAAGCCAGACACACUGCUGUGAUGCUACGUGCUGUGUGAGUAGGGAAAGAAUCAGGGAAGUAGAUUUUAUGAACUUUCAUCUUGUGCCAUUCCUUAAGCCUGGGGGCUAAAUUGGUCUUAACUGAAGGGAAUGUACCUCAGGCUCAACUUCAGCACCCAGACCUAACUCCUGCCAAGGGGCAGGUUCAGGGCUCUGACAAUCUUCCCUGUAUUUCCUGCUUAACAACCUUAUCCCAUUUUCACUGACAACUUCUAUUCCAUCUUGUCUACAGCCAAUUUAUUUGCCUGGCAGCCCUGGGAUGAGGGAUUCACAUGGCAGCAGCAUGCCAGGCUGAGUAAUGAAAUGUUUUUCUUUGGGAUACUAUAGUGAGGCCUCAAGUGGUUUCAAAUGCACACCAAAAAAAUUCUAUAUUUUAAUUCUAUAUAGAAGUGAAUUUAUAGGCAGGUGUUAUUUGAAUAUAUACUCAGAAAUAAAUUAGGUUAGUGUUUUAGAUUGUUACAUUUUGGUUGUUUUUUGGAUUUGUUUUGGUUGUUUGUUUGCUCUUUGUAUAUUUGAUAAGCAUAUAGGGACACGUUCACAUACCAUGAACAUCUUGCCUGUUUUUAUGAGGUGACUUGUACAUGGACAAAUAGAUAAGUAGAUCCUCAUGAUCAUACACAGCGUAUCAGUGGAAGAGACUGGUGAUUCUGGAGCUUGUCAGGAGCUUCAUUCAAGGGCCACCAUGUAUUUUCCGUAGUUUUGCUUUGUGUAUAAUAAACAGUCAAAUACAUUUUCAAACCCUGUGUUUUUCUAUAAUACACAUUUUUAAGCAGGUUUCUUGGCAUGCAUUUUGUUUGUACUGUGCUGAGGUUGUUUAUGGCAUUAGUGAUUUGUGUGUUUGUGCAUGUUUGCAUUCUGUCUGUUUAUGAAGUAUUUCACUGGUACCCUUACACAGCAUGUGGUCGGCCAAGGACUGUACUUGAUAGCAUGUGUAGUUAGCAUGCAUUUUGCUGAAAGGCAUUUGAAGUAAGGUAGGUUAAACACUGCUUACAUGCAAUUAUAUAAAGACAGAUUUGCAGGUUAUACUUGUCUUCAUAGAAGUUAGAUACAGAAAAUACCUGCACUAUUGGUGCAGUGAUGGAAGUGAGAAUUUUUGCCAAUUUUUCCAGCAAUCACAUCUGUUUGAUGUUCUUGAAUUUCAUAAGAAUAGGUCAAUUCUAAUAAUACUGGGAACAUUCAUGUAUUUUUAUUACCCUAGAUGUCAAAAAUAAUUAGUGGAUGACUCAUUAAUUUAUAAUAAUCUCAUAUAUGUAAGUCAUCUUUGAACUGAAGUACAGGAGCAAAACUAAACUUCUUACAAGAAUAAUUUAAAUCACUUUAGCCAAUUAUUGACAGCUAAGUUUACGUAAUAUUUUCAGGACCCACAGACAGUGUCACCAAAUUAAUUUGUGAAUUACACAGAGCUCUGGGUGUUGAUACUUUUCCUGAUAUUUUGAAAGUGUAGGUUUUUCAGCAUUUGUCUACCAAAACAUUACAGGAAUACUAGUUGCAAAAAAAUUAGUUGUUUAGCAGCUUUAGACUCUCACAGGCAUCAGUUCAAUAAGGAUUUUGUGAGCACUACGGGGUAAAAUGUUGUUUUCUUUAGAGGCCCAGUUGCUGCUUGAAGAACAUCAUUCUUUUCAUAAAUUUUAUCCUAGAGUCCAAGAAACUUGUCUUCUGCAGAAAUUA